rnacentral:rRNA from 1 species
GACGAACGCUGGCGGCGUGCCUAAUACAUGCAAGUCGAACGCAGUGGGGACGGGUGAGUAACACGUUGGUAACCUACCAUCAGAGGGGAUAACACUUGGAAACAGGUGCUAAACCGAUACUGAUGGAUGGACCUGCGGUGCAUUAGCUAGUUGGUGAGGUAACGGUUCACCAAGGCCACGAUGCAUAGCCUACCUGAGAGGAUGAUCGGCUACACUGGGACGGAGACACGGCCCAAACUCCUACGGAAGGAAGCAGUGGGGAAUCUUCGACAAUGGACGAAAGUCUGACCGAGAAACGCCGCGUGAGUGAAGAAGGUUUACGGAUCGUAAAACUCUGUUGUUAGAGAAGCGGUAUCUAACCAGAAAGCAACGGCUAACUACGUGCCAGCAGCCGCGGUAAUAC